rnacentral:misc_RNA from 1 species
CUGAAGGUCUACGUACCUGAAAACCAUUGUGAACUCUCCCCUUUAGCUGCCUCGGCGGGCAAUCCCAGGGCGGGAUUCCGGGGCCCCUUGCGGGGCCGUCCGCCGGCGGUGCAACCUCUCUAGCUCUGUCUGUGGCGGGCUUCUGAGUGGACGGAAGAAAAACAAGUCA